AGCGAACGCUGGCGGCAGGCCUAACACAUGCAAGUCGAGCGCCCAGCAAUGGGAGCGGCAGACGGGAUAGUAACACGUGGGAACGUACCUUUCAGUUCGGAACAACCCAGGGAAACUUGGGCUAAUACCGAAUACGUCCGUAAGGAGAAAGAUUUAUCGCUGAAAGAUCGGCCCGCGUCUGAUUAGCUAGUUGGUGAGGUAAUGGCUCACCAAGGCGACGAUCAGUAGCNGGUCUGAGAGGAUGAUCAGCAUCACUGGGACUGAGACACGGCCCAGACUCCUACGGGAGGCAGCAGUGGGGAAUAUUGGACAAUGGGCGCAAGCCUGAUCCAGCCAUGCCGCGUGGAUGAUGAAGGCCUUAGGGUUGUAAAGUCCUUUGGCGGGGAAGAUAAUGACGGUACCCGCAGAAGAAGCCCCGGCUAACUUCGUGCCAGCCGCCGCCGUAAC
rnacentral:rRNA from 1 species